UUGGAGGGCAAGUCUGGUGCCAGCAGCCGCGGUAAUUCCAGCUCCAAUAGCGUAUAUUAAAGUUGUUGCAGUUAAAAAGCUCGUAGUUGAAUUUCGAGACCGGUUUACUGGUCGUGCUUUUGCACGUACUGGUAUUAUUGGUUUCUCCUUUCUGACGAAUCUUAAUGCCAUUAAUUUGGUGUUUUGGGGAAUCAGGACUGUUACUUUGAAAAAAUUAGAGUGUUUAAAGCAGGCUCACGCUUGAAUACAUUAGCAUGGAAUAACGAAAUAGGACGUUUGAUUUUAUUUGUUGGUUUCUAGGAUCGACGUAAUGAUUAAUAGGGAUAGUUGGGGGCAUUAGUAUUCAAUUGUCAGAGGUGAAAUUCUUGGAUUUAUUGAAGACUAACUACUGCGAAAGCAUUUGCCAAGGAUGUUUUCAUUAAUCAGGAACGAAAGUUAGGGGAUCGAAGACGAUCAGAUACCGUCGUAGUCUUAACCAUAAACUAUGCCGACUAGGGAUCGGAUGAUGUUAAUUUUUAAU
rnacentral:rRNA from 1 species